UGACGAUUUAUAGUCGACUCGACAUUUUUGAGGAAAUUUUUGAAAAAGUUAAGUCGUCCAGAUGAUUUGAAUGUUUCAGUUGAGGAUCAAGGAUAUGGAGCAUGGGUGAGAAGAGUUAGAAUGAUGGUUUAAGCAUAGAAGAUUUAUAUGAGUAUUGAAAGUUUUCAUUCAGUAAGCUUGUUGGGUUCUGAUGUUGUGAUUUGUUUGGAGAUUGAUGUUUAUAUUAAGACUUUGUAUUGUCUUAGAAUAGUUAUUCUGGAGUAAGUGAUGUAAAUAUAUGAGUAUUUUGUGCGAUAGAGAAAAAUUAGAGUAUGUACUAUGUGGAAGAAAAAUGAUUUUUAAGUGACAUGAGUUAACUCUCCGGACCCUCGGGGACGGGGCAUUACAGUU